UGUCCAUCAUUUCUGAGCUCCAGUAAUUCCAGUUUUCUGAGUAGAAGGCAAGGUGUGGAGAAAAUCUGACCAGUGCUAAUAAUGGCUAAUCCCUGCAGACCUAACAGAGAACCACAAAUGGCUACAAGCGAUUUGAGAAAUCACCAAGUCCAGCCCUGUGCACUGAGGCAGGACCAAGUAAACCUAGACCAUCCUGAUGGAUGUUUGUCCAACAUGUUCUUAAAUACCUUUAACGAUGAGGAUUCCACAACAUCCCUUGGAAGCAUAUUCCAGAGCUUAGCUAUCCUUAUAAAUAGAAAGUUAUUCCUAAUGUCUAACCUAAAUUUCAUUUACUGCAAAUUAAAUUCAUUAAUUCUUGU